CAAAGGUUAUAAUUUUAAGGAUUUCUUCCUUGGGAGUGGAGGCAAAAUGCUGAUAGUAAUAGAGUGGCCCAGAUUCAAAUGCCUGAACGUACCAUUGUGUCUUGAAUCCAGCUUGGCCAUAAGGAAAUGGGGCGAGACUUUGUCAUGUAUGUCGCUGAAGUUCAGCUAUGCAAAAAUGUUCACCUAUCCUUGAUCAACCAGUCCAGGAACCAUCAAAGAAGAAAAUGAGAUUCGACUUAGAAGACCUGUUCUUUAUAAACCCCUGCACAGCCCUAAUGAUCAACACCACUUCCAGUGCUCAUAAAUUACUGCUUCAAUAAU
rnacentral:lncRNA from 1 species